rnacentral:rRNA from 1 species
AGGGCGAAAGCUGACGGUAACACGCCGCGUGAGGGAUGAAGGCCUCUGGGCUGUAAACCUCUUUUAUCAAGGAAGAAGAUCUGACGGUACUUGCAUGAAUAAGCCACGGCUAAUUCCGUGCCAGCAGCCGCGGUAAUACGGGAGUGGCAAGCGUUAUCCGGAAUUAUUGGGCGUAAAGCGUCCGCAGGCGGUUUUGUAAGUCUGUCGUUAAAGCGUGGAGCUUAACUCCAUUUAGGCGGUGGAAACUACAAGACUAGAGUGUGGUAGGGGCAGAGGGAAUUCCCGGUGUAGCGGUGAAAUGCGUAGAUAUCGGGAAGAACACCAGUGGCGAAGGCGCUCUGCUGGGCCAUAACUGACGCUCAUGGACGAAAGCCAGUGGAGCGAAAGGGAUUAGAUACCCCUGUAGUCCUGGCCGUAAACGAUGAACACUAGGUGUCGAGGGAAUCGAACCCCUCGGUGUCGUAGCCAACGCGUUAAGUGUUCCGCCUGGGGAGUACGCACGCAAAGUGUGAAACUCAAGGAAUUGACGGGGGCCCGCACAAGCGGUGGAGUAUGUGGAUUA